GACGAACGCUGGCGGCGUGCUUAACACAUGCAAGUCGAGCGGAAAGGCCCUUCGGGGUACUCGAGCGGCGAACGGGUGAGUAACACGUGAGUAACCUGCCCUUCACUCUGGGAUAAGCCCGGGAAACUGGGUCUAAUACCGGAUAUGACUCCUCGUCUCAUGGCGGGGGGUGGAAAGUUUUUCGGUGGGGGAUGGACUCGCGGCCUAUCAGCUUGUUGGUGAGGUAAUGGCUUACCAAGGCGACGACGGGUAGCCGGCCUGAGAGGGCGACCGGCCACACUGGGACUGAGACACGGCCCAGACUCCUACGGGAGGCAGCAGUGGGGAAUAUUGCACAAUGGGGGAAACCCUGAUGCAGCGACGCCGCGUACGGGAUGAAGGCCUUCGGGUUGUAAACCGCUUUCAGCAGGGACGAAAUUGACGGUACCUGCAGAAGAAGCACCGGCUAACUACGUGC
rnacentral:rRNA from 1 species